rnacentral:rRNA from 1 species
UACGUAGGGGGCAAGCGUUGUCCGGAAUCAUUGGGCGUAAAGAGCGUGUAGGCGGUUUGGUAAGUCCGCUGUGAAAGUCCAGGGCUCAACCCUGGAAUGCCGGUGGAUACUGCCAAACUAGAGUCCGGAAGAGGCGAGUGGAAUUCCUGGUGUAGCGGUGAAAUGCGCAGAUAUCAGGAGGAACACCUAUGGCGAAGGCAGCUCGCUGGGACGGUACUGACGCUGAGACGCGAAAGCGUGGGGAGCAAACAGG